CGCCUUGCCAGCCCGCUCAGAACUUAAAUGAAUUGACGGGGGCCCGCACAAGCGGUGGAGCAUGUGGUUUAAUUCGAUGAUACGCGAGGAACCUUACCUGGGCUCAAAUGUAUGUGACGUAUUCUAAAAGGGAUACUUCUUCGGACAAUAUACAAGGUGCUGCAUGGUUGUCGUCAGCUCGUGCCGUGAGGUGUCGGGUUAAGUCCCAUAACGAGCGCAACCCCUAUCAUUAGUUGCCAUCAGGUCAAGCUGGGGACUCUAAUGAAACUGCCUACGCAAGUAGUGAGGAAGGUGGGGAUGACGUCAAAUCAGCACGGCCCUUACGUCCAGGGCUACACACGUGCUACAAUGGCCGGUACAAAGGGCAGCUACCUGGUGACAGGAUGCUAAUCUCAAAAGCCGGUCUCAGUUCGGAUCGGAGUCUGCAACCCGACUCCGUGAAGUCGGAAUCGCUAGUAAUCGUGAAUCAGAAUGUCACGGUGAAUACGUUCCCGGGCCUU
rnacentral:rRNA from 1 species